rnacentral:rRNA from 1 species
UACGUAGGGUGCAAGCGUUGUCCGGAAUUUAUUGGGCGUAAAGAGCUCGUAGGCGGUCUGUCACGUCGGCUGUGAAAACCCGAGGCUCAACCUCGGGCCUGCAGUCGAUACGGGCAGACUAGAGUUCGGUAGGGGAGACUGGAAUUCCUGGUGUAGCGGUGAAAUGCGCAGAUAUCAGGAGGAACACCGGUGGCGAAGGCGGGUCUCUGGGCCGAAACUGACGCUGAGGAGCGAAAGCGUGGGGAGCGAACAGG